GUGCACGGGUGUGGGGCGUGUCUCAUGGGUGUGGUAGAUGAUAAAUGUGGUUGCACUCACCUGUUCACCGCACCUGAUGUUGAUGAGCAGAAAGAUCAUCACGUGGAGGUGAAGGUGGAGGAAGGCUCAGUCUGUCACCCUGCCCUGCAAAACAACACCUGACCUGCCUGAGAACACCAGAGUGGAGUGGACUCGCUCUGACCAUGAACUCUUGGUAGUUCAGGAGUAUUCAAACAAAGGUUCAGGCCUCUUGGGAUGAAGCUGCUGAGGCUUUGAGGACAUGUUCUCCAAAUCUUCAGCUACGUUGUUGACAUGCCACCAUCCGCCCAGGGCUCUCCUUCUCCAUUUGGCUGAAUCUGCUUCCGUGAGCCGCUCCUUAAGUCGACUUUGCGACACGGGCACUUUUGGUGUGACUGAUAGUUUUCCAAUAGGAUCGUGCUGAUAUCAGUCUGACUCUGAAAAACCCCACACAGGGAAACAUUGGGAGAUACACAUGUUACGUCUGGAGAAAGGGAGACAUGAUCAGAUCGAAAACAGUGAUGUUAAAAGUAACAGUUUCUUUUUCUUUUCUCUAUUUUUUUUUUUUCAAUGAGUCUUAGCUGCACACUGCCUUUGAAACACAUGUUCAACAAGAAGCCACAGAAACCUUUAUCACAUUAAAGUCUCAUUGUUUCUGUACAGAUUUUCAUGUAUUCUCAUGUGUUUGGCUCCCAGAGUGUCGAUUCCUCCUUCUGUCUCAUCUUCCUCUGUUCUCUGUUACCUGGUCUUUCAGAGUACUGUUAGGGUGAUAUUCUGCCAAGUGUGAAGUUGAUGAGCUUCACAGUUACAACAGGUUAACAUUUCUGAAUAACAUGAUGAAAGUACAAGCAUGAACAUUUUAAACAUGUUUUUUAUAUUUAUUUAUAUUUCAACAAUAUGUUUGAAUGUUUUAAUCCAGCAGUUUAAGGUCGGGCUCAGACUAAAGUCUGUGCUAAGACGACACCAUUGCAAAAUGUUCAUUUUGUUUUUCAGAGGAUUAUCAGACAGGGAGCAGAAUUCAUGUUCAUCAAGUGAGACAAAUUGUCCAGAAGCAGCAAAGCAGCCCAGACCAUCACACUACAACCGCCAUGUUUGACUGUUGGUAUGAUGUUCUUUUUAUGAAAUGCUGUUAUUUUCAGUGCAGAUGUAAGGGGACUAAGACUUUCCAGAAAGAUGAGCCUUUUGUCUCGCCAGUGCACAGAUUAUUUUCCCAGAAGACUUGGGGAUCAUUGAGAUCAUUUUGGAUAUGUGAGAUGAGCCUUCGUAAUCCUUUUGGUCAGCAGCAGUUCUCGUCUU